GACGAACUGUCCAAACGUUGUUCGGAAUCACUGGGCUUAAAGGGCGCGUAGGCGGUCGGCCAAGUCAGGGGUGAAAUCCUGCAGCUUAACUGUAGAAGUGCCUUUGAUACUGGUCGUCUCGAGGGAGGUAGGGGUGUGUGGAACUGUAGGUGGAGCGGUGAAAUGCGUUGAUAUCUACAGGAACUCCGGUGGCGAAAGCGGCGCGCUGGACCUCUUCUGACGCUGAGGCGCGAAAGCUAGGGGAGCAAACGGG
rnacentral:rRNA from 1 species